AAGGGGCAGUAAUGUAUGGGUAACGUACCCGGGGGUCGUGAAUAGCCUUCCUAACGGAUGGGUAAUGCACGGCGAUUCGGCGAGGGGACAUCCUCUUGCCGGGAAAGAAUUUCGCCUCCGGAGCGGCUCAUAUCGUAUUAGCUAGUUGGUGAGGUAACGGCUCACCAAGGCAAAGAUGCGUAGCGGGUGUGAGAGCACGACCCGCGCCACUGGCACUGAGACACUGGCCAGACACCUACGGGUGGCUGCAGUCGAGGAUCUUCGGCAAUGGGCGAAAGCCUGACCGAGCGACGCCGCGUGGAUGAUGAAGGCCUUCGGGUUGUAAAAUCCCGUCGAGGGGGAUCAAGCGCAAGUUGAGUGAUCCCUGGAGGAAGCACGGGCUAAGUUCGUGCCAGCAGCCGCGGUAAGACGAACCGUGCAAACGUUAUUCGGAAUCACUGGGCAUAAAGGGCGCGUAGGCGGCUCCAAAAGUCAGGGGUGAAAUCCGGCAGCUUAACUGUCGCAGUGCCUUUGAUACUGUGGAGCUAGAGGGAGGUAGGGGUCUGUGGAACUUCCGGUGGAGCGGUGAAAUGCGUUGA
rnacentral:rRNA from 1 species